UACGAAGGGGACUAGCGUUGUUCGGAAUCACUGGGCGUAAAGCGCACGUAGGCGGAUAUGUCAGUCAGGGGUGAAAUCCCGGGGCUCAACCUCGGAACUGCCUUUGAUACAGCAUGUCUUGAGUCCGAUAGAGGUGGGUGGAAUUCCUAGUGUAGAGGUGAAAUUCGUAGAUAUUAGGAAGAACACCGGUGGCGAAGGCGGCCCACUGGCCUGGUACUGACGCUGAGGUGCGAAAGCGUGGGGAGCAAACAGG
rnacentral:rRNA from 1 species